CCUACGGGUGGCAGCAGUGAGGAAUAUUGGUCAAUGGGCGAAAGCCUGAACCAGCCAAGUAGCGUGAAGGAUGACUGCCCUACGGGUUGUAAACUUCUUUUAUAUGGGAAUAACAUGAUCCACGUGUAGGACUUUGGAUGUACCGUAUGAAUAAGGACCGGCUAAUUCCGUGCCAGCAGCCGCGGUAAUACGGAGGGUCCGUGCGUUAUCCGGAUUUAUUGGGUUUAAAGGGAGCGUAGGUGGAUUGUUAAGCGAGUUGUGAAAGGUCGGGGCUCAACCGGAGAAUUGCAGUGGAAACUGGCAGUCUUGAGUACAGGAGAGGUAGGCGGAAUUCGUGGUGUAGCGGUGAAAUGCUUAGAUAUCAAGAAGAACCCCGAUUGCGAAGGCAGCUUCCUGGACUGGAACUGACGCUGAGGCUCGAAAGCGAGGGUAUCGAACAGGAUUAGAUACCCCGGUAGUC
rnacentral:rRNA from 1 species